GACGAACGCUGGCGGCGUGCUUAACACAUGCCAGUCGAACGGAAAGGCCCUGCUUUUGUGGGGUGCUCGAGUGGCGAACGGGUGAGUAACACGUGAUUAACCUGCCCUUGACUUUGGGAUAACUUCAGGAAACUGGGGCUAAUACCGGAUAGGAGCUCCUGCUGCAUGGUGGGGGUUGGAAAGUUUCGGCGGUUGGGGAUGGACUCGCGGCUUAUCAGCUUGUUGGUGGGGUAGUGGCUUACCAAGGCUUUGACGGGUAGCCGGCCUGAGAGGGUGACCGGCCACAUUGGGACUGAGAUACGGCCCAGACUCCUACGGGAGGCAGCAGUGGAGAAUAUUGCACAAUGGGCGGAAGCCUGAUGCAGCAACGCCGCGUGCGGGAUGACGGCCUUCGGGUUGUAAACCGAUUUCGCCUGUGACGAAGAGUGAGUGACGGUAAUGGGUAAAGAAGCACCGGCUAACUACGUG
rnacentral:rRNA from 1 species